rnacentral:rRNA from 1 species
UACGUAGGGGGCGAGCGUUGUCCGGAGUUACUGGGCGUAAAGCGCACGCAGGCGGUUGAUCGCGUUCGGAGUGACAGUGUUCGGCUUAACUGAACAAGUGCUCUGAAAACGGGUCAACUUGAGGGUCUUAGAGGAAAGCGGAAUUCCGAGUGGAGCGGUGAAAUGCGUAGAGAUUCGGAGGAACACCAAAGGCGAAGGCAGCUUUCUGGAGGACACCUGACGCUCAGGUGCGAAAGCUAGGGGAGCGAAC